UACGUAGGUGGCAAGCGUUGUCCGGAAUUAUUGGGCGUAAAGGGCGCGUAGGCGGUACCUUAAGUCAGAUGUGAAAACCCGGGGCUCAACUCCGGAGGUGCAUUUGAAACUGGGGUACUUGAGUGCAGGAGAGGAAAGCGGAAUUCCUAGUGUAGCGGUGAAAUGCGUAGAUAUUAGGAGGAACACCAGUGGCGAAGGCGGCUUUCUGGACUGUAACUGACGCUGAGGCGCGAAAGCGUGGGGAGCAAACAGG
rnacentral:rRNA from 1 species